rnacentral:rRNA from 1 species
CAGCCGCCGCGGUAAUACGAAGGGUGCAAGCGUUGCUCGGAAUUACUGGGCGUAAAGCGUGCGUAGGUGGUGGUUUAAGUCCGUUGUGAAAGCCCUGGGCUCAACCUGGGAAUUGCAGUGGAUACUGGGUCACUAGAGUGUGGUAGAGGAUAGUGGAAUUCCCAGUGUAGAGGUGAAAUGCGUAGAGAUCGGAAGGAACAUCUGUGGCGAAGGCGACUAUCUGGGCCAACACUGACACUGAGGCACGAAAGCGCGGGGAGCGAACAGGAUUAGAUACCCCAGUAGUCCCUGUCUCUUAUAC